rnacentral:rRNA from 1 species
GAGUUUGAUCGUGGCUCAGGACGAACGCUGGCGGCGUGCCUAACACAUGCAAGUCGAACGAGUCCACCCUUCGGGGUGAGGCGAGUGGCGGACGGGUGAGUAACACGUGAGCAAUCUGUCCCUGUGCGGGGGACAACCCGGGGAAACCCGGGCUAAUACCGCAUGGGCGGGCACCUCGAGUGGGGAGCCCGGGAAAGAUGGCCUCUUUACAAUGCUAUCGUGCAGGGAGGAGCUCGCGGGCUAUCAGCUUGUUGGUGAGGUAACGGCUCACCAAGGCGACGACGGCUACGGGGUCUGAGAGGACGACCCCGCACAUUGGAACUGAGACACGGUCCAGACUCCUACGGGAGGCAGCAGUGGGGAAUAUUGGGCAAUGGGCGCAAGCCUGACCCAGCGACGCCGCGUGCGGGAGGACGCCUUUCGGGGUGUAAACCGCUGUCAGAGGGGACGAACGGCCCGGGUGGGAA